rnacentral:lncRNA from 10 species
GGAAGCUCCAGAAGGACACAGGGCCAUAGAUACUCUCCCACCCAACUCCAGGCCACAUCAGGAACACCUGCUAACAUUUCCUGAACACUCUUUUUGAGCCAGGCCCUGUGUAUUUUAGAUGCGGUUUCAUUUGAUCUUCACAGGAGCCCUAUGAGGUAGGCAUCCCCAACCCCACUUUAUAGAUGCAAACAACUAAGGCACAGAGAAGUUAUUUGUUCAAGGUCACAUGGCUACUAAGCAACAAAACUAGGAUGCAAAAGCAGAUUUGUUCGACCCCACAUGCUGUGUGCUUUGCUACAAUCCACACUGUCUCCCAGGCCCCACAGAGCCCCAAAUGC